AUAGGCCUAAACCUAUGUUCAGUCGUCAAACUCCGUCUCUUCCACUUCGUUUCCUCUGUAAUUGCGGUUACUGCUACCCUUACUUUGUCAAUCAAUGAUGUUCUUUACUCACUCCUUUAUUGUUUCAUUCCACCUCCCAUUGAUUCUUCCUAUAUAAAUCGCAUCGUCUAAACCUAAAUCCAUCCAAAAUUGAAAAGCUAUUCUCCCACACCUCUGUUCUCACCGUCAUUGACGAUAUCCGCCUCUCUCUAUUCACACGAAGAUUUCCAAGCUAACUGUGGACUUAGGAGUUGCCUUUACGUUUUCCUGCGUCUAUCUCAAAAAAAAAAAAACAGAGACCCUUGCCCUCAGUUCAGUGUCAUCCUCGCAUGUCUUUUAUGUACUACGAUGUCCAACCCACCAUUGAUUAACUCAACUGAUUGGGUUCUAAACCAGAGAUUGCAGAGAGCUGGUGAAUGCAGAGGAGGUUACUAAGGCUGUGAUAGUAACAGCUGGACAAAUCUAUGCUUAUAUCAAAAAGGAAUUCGACAGGUGACUGCUUGGUAUUAUAUUGCCUGCAGCGACGGCAAAACUAAGGCCACCAGAGGACCUUCUUUGUUGAUGUGUCCAAAGUACUUUAGUGCAGAACACACGGUGGUGGCAGAUGCGGGAGAGGAAGGGAAGCAAGCGGCAGCGCUAAGGGUAACAGGGGACAAAGCAAUGUUCUAUAAAGUUAGGGUUUUGGGAUCACAAGACACUCGUAAUGAUGGAACUGGUUCUCACUACUUUUACCAAUGCCACAUCCAAGGAAGUGUCGAUUUCAUCUUCGGCAACGCCAAGUCGCUUUACCAUGCAACAAUCACAUUCAUCUUUUUAUUUAAUCCUUUUUCUGUAUAUAAAAAAAUAUGUACACAAUGUUGAUCUGACGUUUUGUGUAAACAACACCACAGGACUGUGAUAUCCGCUCAAACGCAAAGAGAUUCGGCGCCAUUGCAGCUCACCAUAGAAGUGAAGAGAAUGACGAUACUGGUUUCUCCUUUGUGAACUGUGACAUCGGAGGAACAUGAAAGGUUUACCUGGGGAGAGCUUGGAGAAUCUGCUAAGGUUUUUUUCUACGACAAUAAUGACCAGGCUGUUUCCGUGCUACUUGGUAAUGCAGGCCGUGAGACUUGAAAGCCUACCUCGGAAAUAGUUGACAACUACGUUGAGAUCUUGGUGCUGACCAUGAGAUGCCUGCCCUCCCCAAACUGUAAUAUAUAUAUCAUUGGUCAAGCACACAAGUUCAGGGUCAAAGUGUCAGAAUACAACUUCUCAGGAAAGACACAGACUGUAACUGUUCUAAAUUGUCUCUGCAGUAGUUUUACCACCUUUAACAACUCCCCCCCCCCCCCCCCCCCCAAACUCCCACUUGCCGCCAAAUCUAAAAUGGCACUGCCUUCUGCAAGUGAUGUGGGUGCAUCUUCCAAAAGCUGUGUAUACGUUGCUGAAGAGGUAAAUAAAAGUACCAGUAACAGUAACAGUGAUGAAUUACAGAAAGCAAAGCAUUCUAAACAUGUGUUUUGAAAGCAGAGCAAACGCUGUGUAUUCAUCUCUCAGUGUUGCUUUAGUUAAGAAUUUCAAACAGUUUACUUAUUUGGUUAGACUAGAAUUUUCAAUAGAAUACGUAAUGCUUUGGUAGUGAUUUGCAAGUACUUGGCAUUUUGUAUCAUAAUCCCGGAUGCUCUGCUGAGUGUAUGCUGUUGAAGCACUUCAUUUAAAUUGAUAUCACAUACCUCUUCAGCCA